rnacentral:rRNA from 1 species
GACGAAGGAUGCAAGCGUUAUCCGGAUUCAUUGGGUUUAAAGGGUGCGUAGGCGGAAUUAUAAGUCAGUGGUGAAAAUCUCUCAGUUCUAACUGAGAAACUGCCAUUGAUACUGUAGUUCUAGAGUAUAGAUGACGUUGGCGGAAUAUGACAUGUAGUGGUGAAAUACUUAGAUAUGUCAUAGAACACCGAUUGCGAAGGCAGCUAACGAAACUAUAACUGACGCUGAGGCACGAAAAGUGCGGGGAUCAAACAGG